GACAUGUAAUAAGAGUUAGGUAGUCGGUCCAAAAGUUGGAAGAAUUCAUAGCCAAGUUACGUGGGUUGGGUUUUGGAUUAAAUUAUUUGGAGGAUUUAGACUUUUUUAAAGAAUUUAUAUUGGAAAUAGCACUUGAUUAUUGAAUCAAACUGAAAACCCAACCUGAGUUUCACAUUGGGACGAGUCACUUGGCUGAGCCUAGAUCGGCAAACGUUAUUUGAUGUUAAUAUACCACUUGAUUCAACUUAGUGAUAGAGCAAGGCCAAUUUUAGAAAAGAAUAAAAAAAUAUUAAUUGAGGCAAUCCAAAGUUUUAAGUUUUGAGCGCUUAUACAACAAUUCGUUAGGAUGCGUUUGAUUGGAGUAAUCUAGUAUGGAAA
rnacentral:lncRNA from 1 species